rnacentral:lncRNA from 1 species
ACCAUCCCUCCAUGCAAGAUCGCUCUCUCACCACUUCUCAGAAUUUAAGAAAGUAUAUGAUGAGCUCAAUGUUAUAAUGCUUUUUAGUCCAGAUGUGAAGGUACAACAGGCUCAGCGUGAACAAUUGGCGGUCAUGAGUUUCAUUUCUAGUCUUUCUCCAGAAUUUGAAGGGGCCAAAUCACAGAUUUUAUCUGGGACUGCUAUCUCUUCCUUAAAAGAGGCCUUUACGAGAGUAUUGCGUACUGAAAAGUCUCAUCCAGGUCCGACGGUCACGAUCGAUAGUGGUGCUCUGCUUAGCCGCGGCCAAAAGAAUAGGGGUCAUACUAAUCGCAAUCGGAGUGGCGAUAGUCGAGACCUAAAGCAAGGGGAAGUUGAAUGUUUUUAUUGUCAUGAGCUCGGUCAUACCAUACGGUAUUGUGUGAAGCUUCAGAAUAAGAACAAAAGAUCUCAGUAUGCCAACAUCGCCACUUCCGAGACUAUUGCACCAUCUCAGUCAUCAUCUCCUACUAUCAAUGCUAUCCCCGAGUUAGGUAAAACCACUAAGUGUCUCCUCUCUUCGUCAUCCAAAUGGGUCAUUGAUUCUGGUGCCACAGAUCAUAUGACAGGUAACUCUAAACUCUUCUCCACUUUUCAGUCACAUAUCUAAUGUUCCAUAGUUACUUUAGCCGAUGGGUCUACCUCAUAUGUUUUAGGGUCUGGGACUAUUAACCCAACAUCUUCUCUUUCCCUUAGUUCAGUCUUAAAUUUGCCUGAUUUUUCUUUCAAUCUAAUAUCUGUGAGUACUCCACUUUUCAGUAAUAUACCAAAUCGUCCUCAGUUACUUUAGCCGAUGCGUCUACCUCAUAUGCUUUAGGGUCUGGCACUGUUAACCCAACAUCUUCUCUUUCCCUUAGUUCCGUCUUAAAUUUCCUGAUUUUUCUUUCAAUCUAAUAUCUGUUAGUAAACUUACUCGUGCUCUC